rnacentral:ncRNA from 1 species
UUUUGUUUAACUAUGGCAAGUAGAAGUUUAUUGGUUAUUUAACUGCAUAAAAUUGUUUUAUUAAAUAGAUUUACUACUAUGCGGGGUAUGAUGUUAAUUAGCAGUUAAUUUUUUAUUAGAAUUAAAGUUUUUUAAGAAAUAAUCUUUUUAAGGGGAUAGGACGCAGUGCCAGCAUCCGCGGUUAAUCUGCUUUCUUUGCUUUUCUGUGGCUUGUUUUUAAAGGUUUAAGCACAAGGUUAGGUGAAAUUUUCUUGUUUUAGUUUUUAACCUUUAAGAGUAAAUAAGUAGCAAAUUAUGACAGGGAUUAGAUACCCCAUUAAUAUGCUAUAAAUUGUAGCUUAGUUUUAUAACUAAAAUAGUUUGGCAGCGAGUUAUUCCUAUCGGGGGAAGGUGUGUAGUAAAGGACGAUCCGCCCAGUAGCUUACUAUACUUAUGUUGGUGUAUAUCUGGUUUAAUAUUAUUGCUUUAAUUGUAGAGAUUGUGUAUUUUUGAUUAAGCCAAGUCUAUGUGCUGCUUAGUGUAGUUUAACAUGCGUUACAAUAAUAAAGCUUUUUUUGGAAUAAUGUGGUUUAUUAAGGACUCGAAAGUAAUAUUGAAUAAUUAUGUCAGUGUGAAUAAGGUUUAACUCGGGUACACACCGCCCGUCACCCUCGAUAACUGUUGAGGUAAGUCGUAACAUGGUAACCCCAAAUGAAUUUGGGGUUAAUUAUUUACACAU